GUCCUCUCAUGUAGUGUGAAUGAAGUGGUGUUGCAGUGGAAAAGGAAGAUUUGAGAAUUUUAGAGUUCAAGAAGUUUCAUGAGAGUUUAAUCUACACAAUCGCAAAUUUGCAUUUUUAGGUUGCAUUUUACUCUCUUAUUGUAUAUUUUGCUACAUCAAUGGGCACGCACACUGUUGCUGCUCAUCAGGUCAUGAUGCAACUUUAUGGCAUGUGUACCGUGUUUGGUGGGCCUCUCUGACAAACUGCUCAGUCAUUUAUGCCUGAGUUGAUGUAUGGAGUUAAUCGAAGUCUGGCAGAGAUGCGUAAAGUGUUGAUUCCAUACUUCCUUGCUGGUAUGCUUGUUUUUGCACAAAAUGUAACACCCUGUAUUCAUAGCCUUGAGGAGAGGACAUUGCUGAAGCUGAAGAUUUGGAUUAACGAUUCAACCAAGUUACUCCAUGGUAGGGUGGCUGAUCUUUAGAUUCUGUUGGUGGCUUUCAUAAAUGUUGUCGGUGGCUUGUUGAAGACUUUGGCUCUCCCAUUACAUCUAUGAAUGGUUAGUGAGUGGGAGGGGUUUGGUGUGGCAAUCAGAAGAGAGUGUAAGCAGAGUGUAAGUAACUGAGUGAGUGUGAGUGUGAGUAGAGUGAGAGUAUUGUCUACUGCUCCUCCAUUGUUAAAAUUUUUGUAUUUUUCUCCAUAUAGUGAAAUCCGCUGCCCGUGGCCGUAGGUUAUUUUGCCGAAGCAUGUAAA